AUCGCUUCUCGGCCUUUUGGCUAAGAUCAAGUGUAGCAUUUGUUCUUAUCAGUUUAGUAUUUGAUGCAUUCUCUAUCCGAGGAUAAUGUGUUAAAUGGAAUUUUGGAGCCAGGAAGUGGAAUAGGGGCUUGCUCCGUACACUCCAUGCAGUGACCUGAUAUUGCAGUAUUUCUAAGAGCGUUGCACUUCUU